rnacentral:rRNA from 1 species
ACAACCACCCACAUCUGGCACUGAGACACAGCCCACACUCCUACGGGGAGGCAGCAGUGGGGAAUUUUGGACAAUGGGCGAAAGCCUGAUCCAGCAAUGCCGCGUGUGUGAAGAAGGCCUUCGGGUUGUAAAGCACUUUUGUCCGGAAAGAAAUCCUUGGCUCUAAUACAGUCGGGGGAUGACGGUACCGGAAGAAUAAGCACCGGCUAACUACGUGCCAGCAGCCGCGGUAAUACGUAGGGUGCGAGCGUUAAUCGGAAUUACUGGGCGUAAAGCGUGCGCAGGCGGUUUGCUAAGACCGAUGUGAAUUCCCCGGGCUCAACCUGGGAACUCCAUUGGUGACUGGCAGGCUAGAGUAUGGCAGAGGGGGGUAGAAUUCCACGCGCAGCAGUGAAAUGCGUAGAGAUGUGGAGGAAUACCGAUGGCGUCUAAGACCACCGCAAAUGAAUUGACGGGUAGAGUUUGAUCCUGGC